rnacentral:rRNA from 1 species
GUACUACGUGGGAAUUGCUGGAGAUACUAUUAGGACUUGAGACCGGGAGAGGUUAGAGGUACUCCCAGGGUAGAGGUGAAAUUCUGUAAUCCUGGGAGGACCGCCUGUUGCGAAGGCGUCUAACUGGAACGGUUCUGACGGUGAGGGACGAAAGUUAGGGGCGCGAACCGGAUUAGAUACCCGGGUAGUCCUAACUGUAAACGAUGCGGACUUGGUGUUGGGGUGGCUUUGAGCUGCUUCAGUGCCGAAGGGAAGCUGUUAAGUCCGCCGCCUGGGAAGUACGGUCGCAAGACUGAAACUUAAGGAAUUGGCGGGGGAGCACCACAACGCGUGGAGCCUGCCGGUUUAAUUGGAUUCAACGCCGGACAUCUCACCAGAGGCGACAGCUGUAUGAUAGCCAGGUUGAUGACUUUGCUUGACUAGCUGAGAGGAGGUGCAUGG